rnacentral:rRNA from 1 species
UUGCGCUCUUGGAGCGGCCGAUGUCUGAUUAGCUAGUUGGUGAGGUAAUGGCUUACCAAGGCGACGAUCAGUAGCUGGUCUGAGAGGACGACCAGCCACACUGGGACUGAGACACGGCCCAGACUCCUACGGGAGGCAGCAGUGGGGAAUUUUGGACAAUGGGGGAAACCCUGAUCUAGCUAUGCCGCGUGAGUGAAGAAGGCCUUCGGGUUGUAAAGCUCUUUCAGCCGGAACGAAACGGUCACGGCUAAUAUCCGUGACUACUGACGGUACCGGAAGAAGAAGCACCGGCUAACUACGUGCCAGCAGCCGCGGUAAUACGUAGGGUGCGAGCGUUAAUCGGAAUUACUGGGCGUAAAGCGUGCGCAGGCGGUUUUGUAAGUCAGAUGUGAAAGCCCCG